rnacentral:misc_RNA from 1 species
CCCCUAUCUUUGACCCAAAUUAUAGCAGCUAGAAAAAAACACCCUCUGACUUACAAAAUCCUACGACACCAACAGCCCCAUACACGAAAGUCAUAAAAUUUAAAAAGAUGAGUCCAGCAAAGAAGCUCAAAAUAAUCCACAAAAACAGGGACCACAAAUUGCCAUGCACCUUUUCUCAUGGCUUGUUCUGUGUAGGUUUCAUACAUGCAACUAUUGAUGCACUAAUUAAGAAAAGAAUAAGAAGAAACCUAUUCUCAUAAUGACAUAUGAUACAAGCAGAUUAACUUGCUAUAAUGCUUCGCAUGAAUGAAUAUUGGAUAGUCUAUAAAAUUUCAAAAUAACUCUUUUUCUAUCACUUAACUCAAGAGGAACUACUUGGUGCUACUUC